rnacentral:rRNA from 1 species
AUGAACGCUGGCGGCGUGCCUAAUACAUGCAAGUCGAGCGAACGGACGAGAAGCUUGCUUCUCUGAUGUUAGCGGCGGACGGGUGAGUAACACGUGGAUAACCUACCUAUAAGACUGGGAUAACUUCGGGAAACCGGAGCUAAUACCGGAUAAUAUUUUGAACCGCAUGGUUCAAAAGUGAAAGACGGUCUUGCUGUCACUUAUAGAUGGAUCCGCGCUGCAUUAGCUAGUUGGUAAGGUAACGGCUUACCAAGGCAACGAUGCAUAGCCGACCUGAGAGGGUGAUCGGCCACACUGGAACUGAGACACGGUCCAGACUCCUACGGGAGGCAGCAGUAGGGAAUCUUCCGCAAUGGGCGAAAGCCUGACGGAGCAAUGCCGCGUGAGUGAUGAAGGUCUUCGGAUCGUAAAACUCUGUUAUUAGGGAAGAACAUAUGUGUAAGUAACUGUGCACAUCUUGACGGUACCUAAUCAGAAAGCCACGGCUAACUACGUG